GUUAGGCAAAUGAAACACAAAAAAACACGGAAUAGGCCCAAAGCCCAUCCGAGAAACAAAGCCAGUGAGCCAAAUAAGCCCACCAUCUUAAGAUAAUCAGCGCAUGUGGUAAUACCAAUAAAACAUCAAACCACAAAGUCCACGUGACCAACAUUUAGCUAAAAUAAAUUAGCAAACCACCAGUCAUUUGGCCCAAUAGAA
rnacentral:lncRNA from 1 species